rnacentral:rRNA from 1 species
UACGGAGGGGGCUAGCGUUGCUCGGAAUCACUGGGCGUAAAGCGCACGUAGGCGGAUCGCUAAGUCAGGGGUGAAAUCCUGGAGCUCAACUCCAGAACUGCCUUUGAUACUGGCAAUCUCGAGUCCGGGAGAGGUGAGUGGAACUGCGAGUGUAGAGGUGAAAUUCGUAGAUAUUCGCAAGAACACCAGUGGCGAAGGCGGCUCACUGGCCCGGUACUGACGCUGAGGUGCGAAAGCGUGGGGAGCAAACAGG